AGCCUGUCGUGGGACUUUACCUUGUAAUUGUUGACUGACUGCAAAACCGUUCAAUCAAGAAGAGCCUUUGGCUCAUUUUCAGGACCAGCAGAGAAGGGGGUGGAGGAGCUGAAUUUCCCUCUGUGUCCAUGCUUGGCAGCAUCAGGAGCUAAACACAGAGGUACCCAGGAUCUCCACUUCAUGCUUGGAAACUCCCUACCACUCAGGGUCACCCAAUGUAGGCAAAGACCAGUCCAGCUUGCACUCAGCACUCAGUCAGGAUAAAUGUAUCUUUGAAGCCCAGCCACCAUGUUUGGAGGAAGCCUGGACCAUAGGUAGAGGCCAUGGUCUAGGUGUUCAGCCCACAGCCCAGGUAAGACCCAGGUAAGUUCUAACAGCCAUCAUCAGCUAUUAGCUGGUAAGAGAGGGAACCUUUGGAUAAUGCCAGUCCUCAAACUUUCAGCUGCCCUGGGGGACACCAAGUGGAGAAGAAAUAAGCUGUCCCUCCUAAACCCUGCACACGUAAUACAUUUGUAAGCAAAAUAAAUGUUAUUGUUUCAACAGCUAAGUUUUGGGAUGGUUGGUUACAUAGCAAUAGACAACUGGGAAAAACAAAAUAUUCUAUUCCUAUUUUGUACCCAUGUCACCAUACAAGCACCACCCUAUAAUAAAGAGAGCAAUUAACAAGCAAAGCAGAACUUAGAGGCGGGAAAGCUUUGGAUGUUUCUCUUCAAGAAUCUCACCCUGCAUUCUGAUCUUGGGCUCCUUUGGCGUCGUAUAACCUACAACAUGACAAUUCAGCUCUAUACAAUCGUACCACUUUAAAAGUACAUGUGGGCCUGGAGCGGUGGCUCACACCUGU
rnacentral:lncRNA from 1 species